rnacentral:tRNA from 1 species
GGUGGUAUAGCUCAGCUGUACACCACUUGUCUAACAAGCAUGAGGGCCCUGAGUUCAAACCUCAGUAUCAUUU